GUCUUUACUUCCUCCUAAAAUUUCCCAUUACUGGAAAGGAGCCAGGAAGUUGAAACGUUGCAAGACAGACCAUGAUUGUGGGCUGCAGCCCUCCUCCCUAUUCCUCCAAAAUAAAAAAACAAAAGCAAAACAAAACAAAAACCUUUUAGUCACAGUCCUUAAGACCAAGGCGAGAGAAAACCGCUCGUCAACUCCCUAAAACGUGGCUUCUGAGUGCAUGGGCCCUAGGCUAAAGCAAGACCAAGCUGUAAGAUGCUGUCUGUUAGCUAGUAUUGUCCCUCUAGGCUUUACUUUGGCUCACGUGGAGCCGGCUGUCCAUAACAACCCCGGACCACGGACCACGAGGGGCCACAAGGGAGAUCUCUGAGGAUCUGCAGAGAUGACCUAACCGAAAGAGGGAGAUGUACAGUGGAUAGGAAACAAGCCUGGGGCAGACAGAGGACUCAAAGCUCUGCACUAUAGGUACCCACACCGGUGGAAAACGACUAGCAUUGAGCAUCCUGCUGCGCCUCCUGUCCUGCCUUUCCAAGCCCUGCCCUGGCCUGCCCUGCCCCGCGCUGCCCUGCGCGCGCGCGCCUCACUCACACGCACACGCCUUAGCACACGCACACACGUGCUCAUGCACACUACUCCCAGCAGUGUCUCUGUCCAGACUCUGGGGCGACGUCCGCCUUUAAGGGGCGACAGCCCUGUCCUUCAUGGAGCAGCCCCGCAAGGGAGCAGAGAGGCACGGCGGGCUCUGGAGCGCGUGGGCCGCGGCCGAAGAAGCACGAAGGGCAGUAGCUUACUCUCCUAGUCUUCCCCAUCCCCACAUGACCAUCACAGCUGCUUCAGUUGCCCAACACCACCAGUCCUCAGAACACUGAAAGAGGAAGAGUCGCACCCUUGAUAUUGGGGAGGACAGCUGGAUGGGAUAACCACUCUCUGACAGCUGACUGUGGCUCACUUCCAGAAGGAAUAGCAUUUGUUGAUACAAAAAACAGCCACCAGCCACCGUAACUGUAACUGCCUCUUUUAGGUGUUUUGAGCUCACAGGACUGAGGGUAAGCAAAUGCAGAUUUUUAAUUUAUUUUUAUUUUUUAUUUUUUUGGUAUUUAUAGGUAAAGGAUACUGGCUAUUCCCGAACAACACUUAGUUUAUUCACAAUUCAAUCACUGUUCGGCUUGGGAUGAUAGCAAGAGAAAUUGAUUUACAACCAUGUAGCUGGGCCCUAUUACUUAUUUUUACUAAUUGUAAAGGAAGAAGGAAUCUCAACACCCUUUGUAUAUUAGAAUCUCCUGAAUGUCAUUGUUACUUCUAAGAUGGAUUUAAGGAAAACCAACAGCAAAGUAUAGUUGCAAAUAGAAAUCCUGGGAAGGCUGCUAAGAAAUCUACCUCCUAUCACUUCCAAACAUGGUCAGAUAUAAAUAGCUGCACAGGCAUUUAAAAACUAUUCACCACGGGGAGAAAAAAGUCAUUAAUUGGUGUUAUACACAAAGGACUGCUCUCUCUCUCUCUCUCUCUCUCUCUCUCUCUCUCUCUCUCUCUCUCUCUNNNNNNNNNNAACCAGCACAGCUUUAAUUACAAGCAAUUGUCUCAAAAUCAGCUUCUGGUAAGUUCUGCAUUCUCCACAGCGAUUAUGCAUCAAUACACUAAUCUAUCACUUUCAUUAUUUUGGUCAUUUGGGUGUGUAAAUUUGUAUUUAAUUCAGACAACAAACCAGGCAAUUCCUACUGUUACUUUCUAGCACAGUGUGCCUCUCAAAGGCACAAGUUAGACUCAUCCCUUUGACUGGACUUACGAAAAUAGUAACGAUGUAUAUUUUUAUUUAGCUUGUUGGGGUGUUUCUUCUUUUUCUGACUACUAAAUAAAUAUAAUAGCAUCAGAUGUAUACA
ensembl:lncRNA